GUCGGUUAGGUGUAGGUGUUGCAUGUUAAUUUUUCGUGUUAGAGGUAGUUUUGGAA
rnacentral:tRNA from 1 species